AUUGAACGCUGGCGGCGUGCCUAACACAUGCAAGUCGAGCGGUAACAGGUGUAGCAAUACAUGCUGACGAGCGGCGGACGGGUGAGUAACGCUUGGGAAUCUGCCUAUUAGUGGGGGACAACCCGGGGAAACUCGGGCUAAUACCGCAUACGCACUACGGUGGAAAGCCGGGGACCGCAAGGCCUGGCGCUAACAGAUGAGCCCAAGUCGGAUUAGCUAGUUGGUAGGGUAACGGCCACCAAGGCGACGAUCCGUAACUGGUCUGAGAGGACGACCAGUCACACCGGAACUGAGACACGGUCCGGACUCCUACGGGAGGCAGCAGUGGGGAAUAUUGGACAAUGGGCGAAAGCCUGAUCCAGCGACGCCGCGUGGUGAAGAAGGCCUGCGGGUUGUAAAGCCCUUUCAGUGGGAAGAAAAGCCUCGAGCUAAUACCUCGGGGUCUUGACGUACCCAUAGAAGAAGCACCGGCUAACUUCGUGCC
rnacentral:rRNA from 1 species